GCAGAGAGGGAGCGCGCCUUGGCUCGCUGGCCUUGGCGGCGGCUCCUCAGGAGAGCUGGGGCGCCCACGAGAGGAUCCCUCACCCGGGUCUCUCCUCAGGGAUGACAUCAUCCGUCCACCUCCUUGUCUUCAAGGACCACCUCCUCUCCAUGCUGAGCUGCUGCCAAGGGGCCUGCUGCCCAUCUACACCUCACGAGGGCACUAGGAGCACGGUUUCCUGGAUCCCACCAACAUACAAAGCAGCCACUCACUGACCCCCAGGACCAGGAUGGCAAAGGAUGAAGAGGACCGGAACUGACCAGCCAGCUGUCCCUCUUACCUAAAGACUUAAACCAAUGCCCUAGUGAGGGGGCAUUGGGCAUUAAGCCCUGACCUUUGCUAUGCUCAUACUUUGACUCUAUGAGUACUUUCCUAUAAGUCUUUGCUUGUGUUCACCUGCUAGCAAACUGGAGUGUUUCCCUCCCCAAGGGGGUGUCAGUCUUUGUCGACUGACUCUGUCAUCACCCUUAUGAUGUCCUGAAUGGAAGGAUCCCUUUGGGAAAUUCUCAGGAGGGGGACCUGGGCCAAGGGCUUGGCCAGCAUCCUGCUGGCAACUCCAAGGCCCUGGGUGGGCUUCUGGAAUGAGCAUGCUACUGAAUCACCAAAGGCACGCCCGACCUCUCUGAAGAUCUUCCUAUCCUUUUCUGGGGGAAUGGGGUCGAUGAGAGCAACCUCCUAGGGUUGUUGUGAGAAUUAAAUGAGAUAAAAGAGGCCUCAGGCAGGAUCUGGCAUAGAGGAGGUGAUCAGCAAAUGUUUGUUGAAAAGGUUUGACAGGUCAGUCCCUUCCCACCCCUCUUGCUUGUCUUACUUGUCUUAUUUAUUCUCCAACAGCACUCCAGGCAGCCCUUGUCCACGGGCUCUCCUUGCAUCAGCCAAGCUUCUUGAAAGGCCUGUCUACACUUGCUGUCUUCCUUCCUCACCUCCAAUUUCCUCUUCAACCCACUGCUUCCUGACUCGCUCUACUCCGUGGAAGCACGCUCACAAAGGUUCCCAGUGCCCCCGACAAGCCCCUGCUGGUGUCUCCAUCUCCUGCCAAGCAUCCUCCAGUGCCUCCUCCUGUGGGCCUGGCCUCAGGGCUAUGGACAGACUCCUGUCCCAUCCCAGAGACCCCUCGUGAUCGUGCCCUGGCACGUGGGCCGUGGCCCGGCUGGGUCGGCUGAAGAACUGCGGAUGGAAGCUGCGGAAGAGGCCCUGAUGGGGCCCACCAUCCCGGACCCAAGUCUUCUUCCUGGCGGGCCUCUCGUCUCCUUCCUGGUUUGGGCGGAAGCCAUCACCUGGAUGCCUACGUGGGAAGGGACCUCGAAUGUGGGACCCCAGCCCCUCUCCAGCUCGAAAUCCCUCCACAGCCACGGGGACACCCUGCACCUAUUCCCACGGGACAGGCUGGACCCAGAGACUCUGGACCCGGGGCCUCCCCUUGAGUAGAGACCCGCCCUCUGACUGAUGGACGCCGCUGACCUGGGGUCAGACCCGUGGGCUGGACCCCUGCCCACCCCGCAGGAACCCUGAGGCCUAGGGGAGCUGUUGAGCCUUCAGUGUCUGCAUGUGGGAAGUGGGCUCCUUCACCUACCUCACAGGGCUGUUGUGAGGGGCGCUGUGAUGCGGUUCCAAAGCACAGGGCUUGGCGCACCCCACUGUGCUCUCAAUAAAUGUGUUUCCUGUCUUAACAAAAA
ensembl:lncRNA MEG3 maternally expressed 3